CACGUAGGGUGCGAGCGUUGUCCGGAAUUAUUGGGCGUAAAGAGCUCGUAGGCGGUGUGUCGCGUCGGCCGUGAAAACCUGUGGCUUAAACUAUGGGCUUGCGGUCGAUACGGGCAUCACUGGAGUUCGGCAGGGGAGACUGGAAUUCCUGGUGUAGCGGUGAAAUGCGCAGAUAUCAGGAGGAACACCGGUGGCGAAGGCGGGUCUCUGGGCCGUAACUGACGCUGAGGAGCGAAAGCGUGGGGAGCGAACAGG
rnacentral:rRNA from 1 species